CGAAUGCUGACAUAAGUAACGAUAAAGCGGGUGAAAAGCCCGCUCGCCGGAAGACCAAGGGUUCCUGUCCAACGUUAAUCGGGGCAGGGUGAGUCGACCCCUAAGGCGAGGCCGAAAGGCGUAGUCGAUGGGAAACAGGUUAAUAUUCCUGUACUUGGUGUUACUGCGAAGGGGGGACGGAGAAGGCUAUGUUGGCCGGGCGACGGUUGUCCCGGUUUAAGCGUGUAGGCUGGUUUUCCAGGCAAAUCCGGAAAAUCAAGGCUGAGGCGUGAUGACGAGGCACUACGGUGCUGAAGCAACAAAUGCCCUGCUUCCAGGAAAAGCCUCUAAGCAUCAGGUAACAUCAAAUCGUACCCCAAACCGACACAGGUGGUCAGGUAGAGAAUACCAAGGCGCUUGAGAGAACUCGGGUGAAGGAACUAGGCAAAAUGGUGCCGUAACUUCGGGAGAAGGCACGCUGAUAUGUAGGUGAAGUCCCUCGCGGAUGGAGCUG
rnacentral:rRNA from 1 species